UACGUAGGGUGCGAGCGUUAAUCGGAAUUACUGGGCGUAAAGCGUGCGCAGGCGGUUUUGUAAGCCAGUCGUGAAAUCCCCGGGCUUAACCUGGGAAUGGCGAUUGGGACUGCAAGGCUGGAGUAUGGCAGAGGGGACUGGAAUCCCUGGUGUAGCAGUGGAAUGCGUAGAUAUCAGGAGGAAUACCGGUGGCGAAGGCAGGUCCCUGGGCUGAUACUGACGCUCAUGCACGAAAGCGUGGGGAGCAAAC
rnacentral:rRNA from 1 species